CAGCACCUCAAGUGGUCAGGAUGAUUAUUGGGCCUAAAGCAUCCGUAGCCGGCUCUGUAAGUUUUCGGUUAAAUCUGUACGCUUAACGUACAGGCUGCCGGGAAUACUGCAGAGCUAGGGAGUGGGAGAGGUAGACGGUACUCGGUAGGAAGGGGUAAAAUCCUUUGAUCUAUUGAUGACCACCUGUGGCGAAGGCGGUCUACCAGAACACGUCCGACGGUGAGGGAUGAAAGCUGGGGGAGCAAACCGGAUUAGAGACCCGAGUAGUCC
rnacentral:rRNA from 1 species